rnacentral:rRNA from 1 species
CGCAGCCGCGGUAAUUCCAGCUCCAAUAGCGUAUAUUAAAGUUGCUGCAGUUAAAAAGCUCGUAGUUGAAUUUCGGGACCAUCAUGUCGGUCGUGCUUCGGUACGUACUGGUAUUGUUGGUUUCUCCCUUCUGACGAACCAUGAUGUCAUUUAUUUGGUGUUGUGGGGAAUCAGGACUGUUACUUUGAAAAAUUAGAGUGUUUAAAGCAGGCUCACGCUUGAAUACAUUAGCAUGGAAUAAUGAAAUAGGACGUUUGAUUCUAUUUUGUUGGUUUCUAGGAUCGACGUAAUGAUUAAUAGGGAUAGUUGGGGGCAUUAGUAUUCAAUUGUCAGAGGUGAAAUUCUUGGAUUUAUUGAAGACUAACUACUGCGAAAGCAUUUGCCAAGGAUGUUUUCAUUAAUCAAGAACGAAAGUUAGGGGAUCGAAGACGAUCAGAUACCGUCGUAGUCUUAACCAUAAACUAUGCCGGCUAGGGAUCGGAUGAUGUUAAUUUUUUAAUGACUCAUUCGGCGCCUUAAC